UACGUAGGGUGCGAGCGUUGUCCGGAAUUAUUGGGCGUAAAGAGCUUGUAGGUGGCUCGUUGCGUCGGGAGUGAAAACCUGCGGCUUAACCGCAGGCCUGCUUCCGAUACGGGCGAGCUAGAGUUCGGCAGGGGAGAACUGGAAUUCCUGGUGUAGGCGGUGGAAUGCGCAGAUAUCAGGAGGAACACCGGUGGCGAAGGCGGGUCUCUGGGCAGUAACUGACGCUGAGGAGCGAAAGCGUGGGGAGCGAACAGG
rnacentral:rRNA from 1 species